rnacentral:rRNA from 1 species
AGUGAACGCUGGCGGUAGGCCUAACACAUGCAAGUCGAACGGCAGCACAGUAAGAGCUUGCUCUUACGGGUGGCGAGUGGCGGACGGGUGAGGAAUACAUCGGAAUCUACUUUUUCGUGGGGGAUAACGUAGGGAAACUUACGCUAAUACCGCAUACGACCUACGGGUGAAAGCAGGGGAUCUUCGGACCUUGCGCGAUUGAAUGAGCCGAUGUCGGAUUAGCUAGUUGGCGGGGUAAAGGCCCACCAAGGCGACGAUCCGUAGCUGGUCUGAGAGGAUGAUCAGCCACACUGGAACUGGGACACGGUCCAAACUCCUACGGGAGGCAGCAGUGGGAAAUAUUGAACAAUGGGCGAAAGCCUGAUCCAGCCAUACGGCGGGGUGAAAGAAGGCUUUCGGGUUGUAAGGCCCUUUUGUUGGGAAAGAAAGCAGCAGGUUAAUACCCCGCUGUUCUGACGGUACCCAAAGAAUAAGCACCGGCUAACUUCGUG